rnacentral:rRNA from 1 species
CCUACGGGAGGCAGCAGUGAGGAAUAUUGGUCAAUGGGCGGAAGCCUGAACCAGCCAAGUAGCGUGCAGGAUGACGGCCCUACGGGUUGUAAACUGCUUUUAUACGGGAAUAACGCGCCUUACGUGUAGGGCUUUGCAUGUACCGUAUGAAUAAGGACCGGCGAAUUCCGUGCAAGAUGCCGCGGUAAUACGGAAGGUCCGGGCGUUAUCCGGGUUUAUUGGGUAUAAAGGGAGCGUAGGCGGCAUGUCAAGCGUGCUGUGAACUGGCCGGGCUCAACCCGGGCCUUGCCGCGCGAACUGGCGUGCUUGAGUCCGCGGAAAGUAGGCGGAAUUCGUGGUGUAGCGGUGAACUGCUUAGA